GAUGAAGAACGUAGCGAAAUGCGAUAAGUAGUGUGAAUUGCAGAAUUCAGUGAAUAAUCGAAUCUUUGAACGCACAUUGCGCCCUUUGGUAUUCCUUAGGGCAUGCCUGUUCGAGCGUCAUUUAAACCUUCAAGCUAAGCUUGGUGUUGGGUGACUGUCCGCUUCACGGCGGACUCGCCUCAAAAUUAUUGGCGGCCGGUACAUUGGCUUCGAGCGCAGCAGAAACGCGAACUCGGGCCCGUCGUAUUGGCUCCCAGAAGCUAUCUUCACAAUUUUGACCUCGGAUCAGGUAGGGAUACCCGCUGAACUUAAGCAUAUCAAUAAGCGGAGGA
rnacentral:misc_RNA from 1 species